AGUCUACAGACACCGUCACAGACUACAGACACAGACUACAACACAGACUACAGUCUACAGACACAGACUACAGACACAGACUACAACUACAGACACAGACUACAGUCUACAGACACAGACUACAGUCUACAGACACAGACACGCACAUUUACAGAUUCCCCAGAAGCAUCCGGUAACCCUGACCUGUUGGACCGGGUCGAGUGCGUCUUUAGAUUUCCAUCGUGGUGCCGACAGCCGGCAGCAGAGAGUCCUUCUCUGUCCUUGCCAGCUUCUCAAUUCCUAAGACUCAGGACUCCUUCCUCCUGCAGAGAUAAAGACUUUACAGUGUUGAUGGUUCUCUGGUCCAGCCGUCGAUUGAGUCUCUGUUGACUGGUGACGACCAAACCGAGUUCUACAGCUGAAACCACAACAUCUGCUCCUGGUCGUGACUUUGAUCUGAGGUCCUACAAAUGAAGUGGCCUUGUGUUAAUUCCAGUCAAGAUGGUGUUUUUUGCGCUGUUGUUUAGGACUGAAUAGGAACAUUCAUCUGGAUCAUUUCACUUUAUUUGAGCAACAUAUCUUUCCCAUAUGUAGUUAUGUCCCGGUGCGAUGCCUCCAGCCUGGUGUUAGAAUGCGGAGAGGUGAACCCAGAGCAGGGACAACUGUCCACUGGUCAGAUCUCAUCUCCUCUUCAGCAUUUCUUCUGGUACUUUUAGAUUUUCCAAAGCAGCGUACGGUGGUAAAACGAUGAACACGAACAUAAAGAUCCAUAAAGGUAUGAUUGAGGUGGUUGUGCCGUGUGCCUUCGUGUGAACCUGUUCCCUAUCGGUGUCUUAUUGAGACUCAUGAACUCUGUUACGAUACUCAGUGUUGGCUCAGCACUUAAUUCCUGUGUCAUACCCAAAGUUUGUGUUAUUGUAUUAUUGACCGUAGCCAAAGUCCAUCCUCAAAGCCUGAAAUGAUUUCUGUUCCGUCUCUUUUCAUGGUACCCGUAGUGUUAUUUCUCGUUGGAAAUCAACUUUCCGUUGAGAGGGAUUUCAUAUUAAAAAUGAGGAAACGUAAGUCUUA